AUCCAGCUAACGAGUCCUAUAUAGGACAAAACUCGCGUCCUGGAU
rnacentral:hammerhead_ribozyme from 1 species